AAUUUUUGACAAUGGGGAAACCCUGAUCCAGCCAUCCCGCGUGUACGAUGAAGGCCUUCGCGUUUNAUAGUACUUUUGGCAGAGAANAAAAGGUAUCUCCUAAUACGAGAUACUGCUGACGGUAUCUGCAGAAUAAGCACCGUCUAACUACGUGCCAGCAGACGCGGUAAUACGUAGGGUGCAAGCGUAAAUGGGAAUUACUGGGCGGAAUGCGUAGGAGGGCGAUUAGGAAAGAAAGAGUGAAAAUGCCAGGGCUCAACCUUAGAACUGCAUUUUAAACUGCCGAGCUAAGAUAUGUAAGAGGGGGUAGAAUUCCACGUGUAGCAGUGAAAUGCGUAGAUAUGUGGAGGAAUACCGAUGGCGAAGGCAGCCCCCUGGGAUAAUACUGACGCUCAGACACGAAAGCGUGGGGAGCAAACA
rnacentral:rRNA from 1 species